rnacentral:rRNA from 1 species
GACGAACGCUGGCGGCGUGCUUAACACAUGCAAGUCGAACGGAAAGGCCCUGCUUUUGUGGGGUGCUCGAGUGGCGAACGGGUGAGUAACACGUGAGUAACCUGCCCUUGACUUUGGGAUAACUUCAGGAAACUGGGGCUAAUACCGGAUAGGAGCUCCUGCUGCAUGGUGGGGGUUGGAAAGUUUCGGCGGUUGGGGAUGGACUCGCGGCUUAUCAGCUUGUUGGUGGGGUAGUGGCUUACCAAGGCUUUGACGGGUAGCCGGCCUGAGAGGGUGACCGGCCACAUUGGGACUGAGAUACGGCCCAGACGCCUACGGGAGGCAGCAGUGGGGAAUAUUGCACAAUGGGCGGAAGCCUGAUGCAGCAACGCCGCGUGCGGGAUGACGGCCUUCGGGUUGUAAACCGCUUUCGCCUGUGACGAAGCGUGAGUGACGGUAAUGGGUAAAGAAGCAACGGCUAACUACGUG